rnacentral:rRNA from 1 species
AGUCAAGAAACUAAGGGCGCAAGGCGGAUGCCUUGGCACCAGGAGGCGAAGAAGGACGUGACAAGCAACGAAAAUCUCGAGUAGGAGCAAAUAUCCAGUGACUCGGGGGAAUCCGAAUGGGGAAACCUACUAGACACACUCUAGUAUCCAUACGUAAAUACAUAGCGUAUGGAGGCGAAUGUUCUGAACUGAAACAUCUAAGUAGGAACAAGAAAAGAAAGAAAACUCGAUUCUCCAAGUAGCGGCGAGCGAACAGAGAACAGCCCAUUAAAGUAAGACUAAACUGAUAGACAAAUCUUAUGGAAAGAAGAACCAAAGAAAGUAACAGUCUUGUAGUCGAAAUCAGAAUAGAGACACUUUAAGAAGAGUACCACGGAGCACGUGAAAUUCUGUGGGAAGAUAGGGGGACCACCCCCUAAGGCUAAAUACUACCUGGUGACCGAUAGCGAAUAGUACCGUGAGGGAAAGGUGAAAAGAACCCCGGGAGGGGAGUGAAACAGAACCUGAAACCUUGCGCCUACAAGCAGACAGAGGAAGAAGACUUCUAAUGUCGUACUUUUUGUAGAACGGGCCAGCGAGUUACGAUACGUAGCAAGAUUAAACAUUUAAGAUGUGAAGUCGAAGGGAAACCGAGUCUUAAUAGGGCGAAAGUUAUGUGUUGUAGACCCGAAACCGGGUGAUCUAUCCAUGGGCAGAGUGAAGGUAAAGUAAAAUUUACUGGAGGCUCGAACCGGGUAGCGUUUAAAAGCUAUCGGAUGACCUGUGGAUAGGGGUGAAAAGCCAAUCGAACUCGGAUAUAGCUGGUUCUCCUCGAAAUAGCUUUAGGGCUAGCCUUGUUUUAGAUUACAGGAGGUAGAGCACUGAAUAGUCUAGGGGAAGUAAUUCUACCGAAACUUAUCAAACUCCGAAUGCCUGAAAAUCGAUGAACAGGAGUCAGACCAUGAGGGAUAAGCUUCAUAGUCAAAAGGGAAACAGCCCAGACCACCAGUUAAGGUCCCAAAAUACAGAUUAAGUGGGAAAGGAUGUAAUACUACUCAGACAACCAGGAUGUUGGCUCAGAAGCAGCCAUACAUUUAAAGAGUGCGUAAUAGCUCACUGGUCAAGUGGUAAUGCGCCGAAGAUGAACGGGGCUAAAUCUGAUACCGAAACUGUGGGAUAGAAAAGCAAUUAUGCGAGAAGUAUGAAGUGAGACUUAGGAAAUAUAUCAACUAGUAAAGUAAGAGAGAAAGACAUUAAUUAACUAUUAAACGAUACAAUUUCUAAAGAACUUAACAACAUACAACUGGCAUAAUAGCUUUUCUAUCGGUAGAGGAGCGUUGUAUAUGAAUUGAAGCAAAAAGCGUAAGCAAUUGUGGAUUAUAUACAAGUGAGAAUGCUGGCAUGAGUAGCGAAAAGGGAUGUGAGAAUCAUCCCCGUCGAAAGCCCAAGGAUUCCUGAGCAAGGCUCGUCCUCUCAGGGUAAGUCGGGACCUAAGGCGAGGCCGAAAGGCGUAGUCGAUGGACAACAGGUAGAAAUUCCUGUACUACAAGAUUGUGAUUGAGAGAAGUACUGACGCAGAAGGAAAAGUCGAGCGUG